rnacentral:misc_RNA from 1 species
UUGCGUGGCAAGGCAGAGGCAACAGCCGGGCCAGUUGUCGCAAUUGAGCGGGCCUAGCUCGUCCUACUAGUAUGAGGAUCGGCACAGUAUGUUGCGUAAUCCUACCACUAACUGUGGAGAGGUAGAGGCAACACAUGUUCCGGUUGUUCUCAAAUUCGGAGAGCAUUAUUAGGGUCAGGUCGAGGCAACCAAAAGGGCCAACGAGCCUUUAUCAUGAGCAACAUCCGAAACCAACAGCGGGAGCGAGGAUGCCUUGAUAGCACCAGGCACGAAACGUGCCAGCACCAAGAGGCAACGCCGCAAACGCCAUAUGGCCGCAGCAGCACACCCAAAGGCGUCCACCGCGAGGCAACUGUGUAUGAAGCACCAAUACCCGUAGGUCGGGUAACAUCACGCAAGCACUUGAAAGGCAACAGUAAGAUAGCUCACACGAAUGAAAAGACACGGCGCCGG